rnacentral:rRNA from 1 species
UACGUAGGGUGCAAGCGUUGUCCGGAAUUAUUGGGCGUAAAGAGCUCGUAGGCGGUCUGUCACGUCGGCUGUGAAAACUCGGGGCUCAACCCCGAGCCUGCAGUCGAUACGGGCAGACUAGAGUGCUGUAGGGGAGACUGGAAUUCCUGGUGUAGCGGUGAAAUGCGCAGAUAUCAGGAGGAACACCGGUGGCGAAGGCGGGUCUCUGGGCCGAUACUGACGCUGAGGAGCGAAAGCGUGGGGAGCGAACAGG